CAACGCCUAAAGCAGGGCCUUCCAUGAACACUGAAGGUGAAUGAGGCCAGAUCCUGUCUCCUCAUCCAUUCACCGGGAUGACAUAUCUAUCUCUCUCUCUCUCUCUCUCUCUCCCCCUGUGUGUUAGGACCUUCCUCAAUGGGAAAAUAAACAGAUCUGUCAGAUGACUCUUCUUAAGAGUGUGCGGUGUCAGUCAGGAGCCUGACAGAUACAGGUGUCACACUCAGCCAGGAUAAGUGGGGAAGUGGGUGGGGCUGUGGAUGAGAAAGCAACAGCAAUGUGCAAGAAUCCUGGAGGCCCACAACGAGAAAGGGGAGACAAGCUGAAGUGACUGUCUCUCCCAUCUCCCAUUGUCCAAACAGGAAGGCAGAAAUCAAGGGCACCCCUGGCACAGAACACAGAGGGGUUGACAGCACAGCUGGGAGAUCAUGUCCCUGUCCUGACACGGUUCAGCUUACAGUAAAGAUUUGCACCCCUUCCGCCUGACCCUGGAACCCUCGGCCUUAACUCCAGGAAGCACUCUGCAGCCUCAUCCGCAAGCAGGUCUCAACAGGUACCAGGAAAGCCAAGGUGACAAAUGGCCUGAGGGACACCUUGUGUCAGCUCAUUGGGACUGAAUGAAUGAAGCAGCUUUUGCAAAAGAAACUGAAAUCACGGAGCAGCCUGUGAUUCUAGCAAGUGAGGAGGCCACAGGUUUUCUAUUCUACAUGCUGGGUGCUCGAGGGUGAGUGAAACGGACUGAGGUACAAGGGGUAACAAUAGACUCUUUAUCCUUCUAAAGCCAAGCCCACACACCAGAUGACAACAGCUAUAUUUACUCACUGACGUAAUUAACCAGAAUGUGAACGGCUUCAAGCAAUGUUUAAAAUCAAAGAGUAUUUUAUAGGGUCUGAUGCGAACUGAGUCCGAUGGUGAAAGGCCACCUUUCUUCAUUGCUCUAGCUUAUCUCUCUGUGAGUAUUAUCCAACCGCUCCCCGAAAUACAGUCCGCAGAAAGGCAAAUCCUUGCCUUCUAAGAACAGCACACAGGUGGGGCGUCCCACCAAACGCACACAGCAAGUACCACAGCUGAAAGGCCCCAGAGUCAGGCAUCACCUGGUGAACUGGUCUCAGUACCUGGCAUUAAAUUCCGCCAUGGAGCCCAAAGGCAGGGCCUGAGCAGGAAAGCAGACAGCGUGGCAAGAUGAGAACAGGCAUGCAUACACUCUACCUCGCAUGCAAAUAAAGGACUCAGAAUUUGAUCCUGCCAUCUUAAGAGUCAGCAUCACCCAUAGCUCUACAGCCCAAAGACUGAGGGUGAAGCUUCAGUGGACGGAAUGGGUACCACCACCAAAAAAAAGCCCAGCUGCCUCUAUGCUGCACUAGAGGCAGGUGGAGGCACAAUGAGCUCUUCCACAAGGUGCAGAGGAACACGUGGUCAGAGGCCGUACCUGAAAGAGGCCUUGCGAACUCUGAGAUGCAGAACUGAAGGAGGCUUUAGAAAAUCUUGGGCCAGAAGCUUCUGUCAGUAUUUUUACCAGAGCUGUUACUGCCAACCCCCACACACCCCCAAAAGAGCCUUAUGAAUAACGUAUAAGAACACAAUUCCACAUUUCAGAUCAGUAUAAUCAUGGAUGUGUCUGUGCAUUCCAGACGACAGCAACGAAACUUCAAGUGACCUUUAAAUUUUUCAAGAAAUCUGAGUGCAACCAGGUGACUCUCCUGAUGCUCUACACUGUAUUCAUGGUUCACAUGCCAGUGCCCAGGAGGCGGAUGCAGGAGGAUGGCAAGUUCCAAGACAGCCGAGGGGAGUGUUCUGCUCGUCUUCUGAGACAGGAGAGCUUUAAUCUUCAGAUUUAGUGCGGCAGAUACUUAAGCAAAUGUUUUCAUACAAUCCCAAACACUCUAGAUUUCAGAAAGGGCGGGCUAAGGAGCCUUUUAAACUCAACCAUGAAUGGAAUCUUCCAAUGGACUACAGAGAAUACAAGAUGGAAAGUGGUGGUUUGCCUAGCUGUGGACUUUAUGAAGGCUGAUAGUGGAUCUCACACACUUUAGCACCUCCACCAGAUCACACAGCAUGGGACUGAGCACAGAUCCCCAGAGAUCUGGAAGGGCUUGGGCGUUGCCUCUGCCCAGCCCUUUCUCCUCGUCACAGGUAAACCUGGGGGUGCUGAAGUGAGGCUUCAUUGUUGAUUCUAGCAGUAGCUUUCAUUUGACUGAUAGUGCUUUGUUCGUUUGUUUUUUAAGACAAGUCACGCACAGUUUGUAGUCCAGGAUGACCCCGAACUUGUCACACCCCUCCCUUAGCUCUGAAGUGCUGGAGUUAUAAGCAUGUUCCAGCAUGUUCUAGCAUGCCCAACUUCCUACAGUGUUUCUUAAAAUUAUAAGUUUCUUAAAAUCUUAAGAAUAGGGAGAAUUGGCUUUUUUAUUACUAUUAUUUUGAUGUUCAACGUCUUCUUUUAAAAAAAAAAAGUUCUUAUCUGGCCACAUUCAAGCCAUUAAUUGGAUCUAGGUGACCCUCUCUGUGGGGUAAGUGCUAAGCACAAACAGCACUGGCAGUACUAUCACCCCAAUGCUGAGGGCAAGCAGCACAGUUGCCAAGCAACAAGGUGCCCACACAGCUGGUUUCCUCUAUCAAAUAUGAGCGUAUGACAGGUUGAGAGACAGUACGACUUUUCAAGGUUUAGAUCAUUUAUUUAUGUUUCCAACUGCCUGAAGACAUCUGAGUGUGUGGCCUUUGAUAGACCUGUUCUUUGCUACCCAAAUCAAAAGUUAUGAUCACCAAUGAACUGUUGACUUUCUAAGUUCUUCUCUGAGGAAGAGCCUUCUGGCCAAUGUCACUUGUCAACAACGUCCACACUGAGAAUAUAAAUGGCACCAUUCUCUCUACCACUAACCACCUCCUUAUUUCCUAAUCUGUUAUCCACCUGUGGGACAAACACCCCCACCACUAGGAACAAAAUCCUGACCGACAUUUUGUUGGUCUUCAGUUGAUGACUUGACUCCAGACCCUCAAACUGGAAUACUGAAUCCAGUCCCUGAGCCCAACCAGCUCCCUCGUGCACUGCCCAUCUGCUCAAGGUCUGGAUAAAAGAAGACAAGACACACCAUUCACUAGGGCCCAGUGCUCAGAGACUGCCCUGCUGCAGUCUGAGUCCCUCUCUAACAUCCCUCCCCCUUUCUCCCAGAUGAGCGAAGAAAAUCCAGGACCCAGUUCCAACCAACUCUUCCUCUGACUGUCCUCUAAGCCUCUCCCAGUCCUCUCUCUACCCAACAACCUCCAGGGCUGAUCUGAUCCCAGAAGCCAUGGUGGCAUGGGUGCCGGGGUCAACAAGCUCAUUUGCUUUUAAAGAACUUCUGUUACGUCACUGCACGUGUGCGCAGGAUCCCAGACAUUCCCACAAACCACACCCUCCCCGUGGAUCCCCCUAAACUUCAGAACUGAGGAAGGGUAGGAAAUCAAUGGGCUGAAGCCCACAGCCAACGACACAGCUUAUUGAGUUUUCUCAUCUAAUCUGUGGCUUGGGUGUGCUGGGCCUUCAAAGCAGUUUGGUUUGAGCUACUAAGUCAGGGGAAGAAGAAAAAAAAAGAAAAGACUCAUUACUUGUAGAAUAUUUUAAUUAAAUGUAUCGUCAUCUAGCUUCUAAUAAAUGCAGCCCAAGCAAUGAUAGUUAUUUAUUUAUCAGGCUCUGCACAAUUACUGGGGGAUUACCCCUAAUCUAAAUCUCUGACACACUACUCUGGCUACUACCCCAAUUGUCCUCCCCAAACAAACACUUGCUCUUUGAAAUUCUCUGGGUUGUUUCUCCUCCAGCAGUCUGGUGUCCUGGGGAGACAUCUGACUCUGACAUGUGCUGCUGGUCCGAUAUGAGUCACAAAGACCUCUUGCUCGCUCCGUCUUCUCCUCCUUCACCUUCUUCAUCUCCUUCUCCCUCUCUCCUUGUCCUCGUGCCCACUACCUGCGAUCUCCAGCACGAUAACUCAAACUCCAUCUCUCCCUAUUUCCCCUGUAACUGGCUGCCUCCAGUUUUAUUUAAUGAAUAGUUUUAAAUUGGGGAGCAAGGUUUACACAACCAAGGCUGGAAUCCAUAAGGAUCAUCUUGGAGCAAACAGAUCUUGAGGUACAGAAUUUAGCAUCUGAAUAUAAGCAGCACCAGACCAACCCCCUACAGUUAUUCAGCAGGUCUGACAAAUGCUAAGCUCCUCACAGCAACAUAGCAGGCCUCUAUGAGUGACAGCAAACGCCAUGUAAGACGGUGCCACCCAGGCACUGUUCAGGAAUUAAGAGGACACACUCUCAAGUUAGCAAUUAGCAACAAUGGCAUCAGGUUUGACUAAGAGCCUAGGAUCUUGAGUCCCUUCUUAACCAUGUGUCAAAAUAGUCUCAGAAAUGCAAGUGAUGGUGAAGGUUACUUCUUGGUUUUCCUGUCUCUACAACCUUCCACUUCCUUCCACUUCAGUGAAAGCCUGCAUCACCCACACAUUUAGACAACACAGGGAAUUCCACCUGCCCUCCAGUGAGAUGUUAGCAGUGAACUGCCUGAGGACAACCAUCAUCCAAUACAAGGUCUCAGCAGAAAACCAGGCAUCUGCUCCGAGAGACUUAGCUCUUGAGAAGAUGGCAGCUCAGCAAGUCACAUCAUGUGGGCACUGCCAUGCAUGGCACACAGGACACUUAGGACAUCAAACAACAGAAGGAGACCCGGGAUCUUCAAGUGGCAGCUGACUGGGGAGCUGGUGCAGUACACAGGAGAUGACUGGUUACUUUUAACAUCCCAUUAAGCCUAAUGAAUGCCCUGAUCCGACGCUCGGUCAACUUCUACAAAAGGCCAGGCAUUACAUCUUAGGUUCUGCAGGAUACACAAGUCUGUCAGUAGAGAGCGAAGUCUGCCACCAGGACACUAACACCCAUGGCUGUGUUUUAAUAAAGCUUUAUUCAUCCAGAUUCUCACUGCCCGUCUGGCUGGACACUUCUUGGUGAAGAUUCACCUGAAGUUCACACCUACCACAGAACAUGCACUGGCUGUCAGGAUGAGAAGGCCUGAGUUCGGAUCCUCAGAACCCAUGAAAAGCUGGUCUCUGCGGCAGCCUCUACAGCCUCAGCUCUUCCAGCGCCAAGGAGCAGACAGACAGGAAGACCUGGUCUCACUGGACAGUCGGUCCAGCCCAGUCAGACUCUAAUAAGUAACAAAACCAUCUGUGGCACAUGGUUUUAAAGAAAAAAAACAAAAACAAAGGGACAGACCUACCCACCUUCACCCAGCCUGAACCUUGUACUUGAUCAGGUCUCUCGGACACUCACCUACCCUGCAAAGUGGGAGAGCAGCUGGCUUGCAGCAGCACAGGUGAGAAAGAGUGGUGUAUCAGGGAAAGAGCCCAGGACCUGAGACAGCUUCAACCCAACGAACCCAACCCAACGAACCCAACGAACCCAACAAACCCAACGAACCCAACGAACGGGCUGAACUGGAGGCUGCUGUGACAGGAAAACUCAAAAUAAACUGAAGAAAAUUUAAUGGUUUUAAAACAAAGGGAGGGCCUGCUUCUCUGGAACAUAGGCUAGGUUUGCCCAGUGGGUUCCAGCUGUCCUUCAAUCAGGCUAGCCUGGGUUUUGCUUUCGUUUUUAAGAUGAUCUAUUUUUAUUGU
rnacentral:lncRNA from 1 species